UUAAGUUCAGCGGGUAUCCCUACCCGAUCCGAGGUCAACCUGUGAUGAGAGUUUUAACGGCGACGUCCGGUCGUCCUCGCCAGCGAUUUGAUGAAACCACAACGCUGAGAUUCGAACCGUCCAGCCGAUGAAUUGAAGGCGCGGGGAGGUCCCGUCGCCCAAUACCAAGCCAGGCUUGAGUGGUGUAAUGACGCUCGAAC
rnacentral:misc_RNA from 1 species